GCGGCCGGGAGGCGGCUUCGCGCCGUGGGCGGGAGGCUGCGGCGGGCGACCGGUCCUGGACACGCGAGGAAGAGCGAGCCGAUGGCGCCAGCGGCCGCGCUUCGACCCGGUGUGCCAUUUUGAAGACUGAGACCAUAGAGUUUUAAGAAUAAAGGAGAGAGCCCUUGGGAAAUUCUGUAUUAUAUAUAGCAAAAAUGUGAAUCCUCAGAUGGAAUGAAAGGCCUGUACCAUAGACAUCUAAGCAUUUACACCCCGCUUGAAGAGUUUGAAAUGGACUUUACCACUGAGAAAUCAAGAUGGCAGCCCAUUAUGGGGAAUUGAGGAAAAUGGAUUAAUGCAAGAAUGCUGUAAUAUUAUACAACCAACACAGGAUUCUUUUAAUGUGGAUUCCAUGAAAUGAAUGAUUCUUACCCAACACAAAUGGACAGUGGACUUUACUUCCUAAAGACUUGUUACAUGUCAUGUACAUUUUUGACAUCUGGAGAAGACUACAAUUCUACAAAUGGUAGUUUGUAUUCCUGGAAUUUCUUGCAGUUUGAUCUGAAGUGACCUUAUGGAAUGUUAACUUUAAUAAAAUCUCUAAAACUUAAAA
rnacentral:lncRNA from 1 species